rnacentral:rRNA from 1 species
AGAGUUUGAUCCUGGCUCAGAAUGAACGCUGGCGGCGUGCUUAACACAUGCAAGUCGUACGAGAACUCUUUAGCUUGCUAAAGAUAGUAAAGUGGCGCACGGGUGAGUAACGCGUGGGCAAUCUACCUCCAUAUCGGGGAUAACCCGCCGAAAGGCGAGCUAAUACCGGAUAAUAUCUAUAAAACCUAGGUUUUUAAGAUCAAAGGUGGUCUCUACAUGUAAGCUACUGUUUGGAGAUGAGCCCGCGUACCAUUAGCUUGUUGGUAGGGUAAUGGCCUACCAAGGCCGCGAUGGUUAGCUGGUCUGAGAGGAUGAUCAGCCACACUGGAACUGACACACGGUCCAGACUCCUACGGGAGGCAGCAGUGAGGAAUUUUGCGCAAUGGGGGAAACCCUGACGCAGCAACGCCGCGUGAGUGAUGAGGGCUUUCGGGUCGUAAAGCUCUGUCAAGUGGGAAGAACCUGCUCGAUGUUAAUACCAUCUAGCACUGACGGUACCACUAAAGGAAGCACCGGCUAACUCCGUGCCAGCAGCCGCGGUAAUACGGGGGGUGCAAGCGUUAUUCGGAAUUAUUGGGCGUAAAGGGCGCGUAGGCGGUCUCUUAAGUCAGAUGUGAAAGCCCGGGGCUUAACCCCGGAAGUGCAUUUGAAACUAAGGGACUUGAGUAUGGGAGAGGGAAGUGGAAUUCCUGGUGUAGAGGUGAAAUUCGUAGAUAUCAGAGGAACACCGGUGGCGAAAGGCGACUUCCUGACCAAUACUGACGCUAAGGCGCGAAGGCGUGGGGAGCAAACAGGAUUAGAUACCCUGGUAGUCCACGCAGUAAACGGUGAACACUAGGUGUAGCGGGUAUUGACCCCUGCUGUGCCGUAGCUACGCAUUAAGUGUUCCGCCUGGGGAGUACGGUCGCAAGAUUAAACUCAAAGGAAUUGACGGGGGCCGCACAGCGUGAGCAUGUGGUUUAAUCGACGCACGCGAGACUUACUGAUUUGACAUCCCGAGAGUCUUUCGAAGAUCGAUGGUGCCUCGGGGACUCGUGACGGUGCCUGCAUGCUGUCGUCAGCCUCGGUCGUGAGAUGGUUGGUAGUCCCGCCACGGGCGCCACCCCUUAUUCUUUAAGUACAGCAAUUCGGUGGCACUCUGGAAUUGUCCCGCUCUAUCGGGGA